rnacentral:rRNA from 1 species
AGAGUUUGAUCCUGGCUCAGAUUGAACGCUGGCGGCAGGCUUAACACAUGCAAGUCGAACGGUAACAGGAAGGAAGCUUGCUUUCUUUGCCGACGAGUGGCGGACGGGUGAGUAAUGCUUGGGAAUCUGGCUUAUGGAGGGGGAUAACUACGGGAAACUGUAGCUAAUACCGCGUAAUAUCUUCGGAUUAAAGGGUGGGACCGUAAGGCCACCUGCCAUAAGAUGAGCCCAAGUGGGAUUAGGUAGUUGGUGGGGUAAAGGCCUACCAAGCCGACGAUCUCUAGCUGGUCUGAGAGGAUGACCAGCCACACUGGAACUGAGACACGGUCCAGACUCCUACGGGAGGCAGCAGUGGGGAAUAUUGCACAAUGGGGGGAACCCUGAUGCAGCCAUGCCGCGUGAAUGAAGAGGGCCUUCGGGUUGUAAAGUUCUUUCGGUGAUGAGGAAGGCGGUUGUUUUAAUAGAACAAUCGAUUGACGUUAGUCACAGAAGAAGCACCGGCUAACUCCGUGCCAGCAGCCGCGGUAAUACGGAGGGUGCGAGCGUUAAUCGGAAUGACUGGGCGUAAAGGGCACGCAGGCGGUGACUUAAGUGAGAUGUGAAAGCCCCGGGCUUAACCUGGGAAUUGCAUUUCAUACUGGGUCGCUAGAGUAUUUUAGGGAGGGGUAGAAUUCCACGUGUAGCGGUGAAAUGCGUAGAGAUGUGGAGGAAUACCGAAGGCGAAGGCAGCCCCUUGGGAAUAUACUGACGCUCAUGUGCGAAAGCGUGGGGAGCAAACAGGAUUAGAUACCUUGGUAGUCCACGCUGUAAACGCUGUCGAUUUGGGGAUUGGGCUUUAAGCUUGGUGCCCGUAGCU